ACGGGGCGCACCAGGCGAGAAAACUUUGCAAUGUGCGAAAGCACGACAAGGUUAAUCCGAGUGAUUUCUGCUAAAGGAAUCUUUUGUCAGUCCUAGAAACACUGUUGAAUAAGGGGUGGGCAAGUUCUGGUGUCAGCCGCCGCGGUAAAACCAGCACCUCAAGUAGUCAGGAUGAUUAUUGGGCCUAAAGCAUCCGUAGCCUGCUUUGUCAGUUUUCGGUUAAAUCCAUACGCUCAACGUAUGGGCCGCCGGAAAUACUGCAAAGCUAGGGAGUGGGAGAGGUAGACGGUACUCGGGAGGAAGGGGUAAAAUCCUUUGAUCUAUUGAUGACCACCUGUGGCGAAGGCGGUCUACCAGAACACGUUCGACGGUGAGGGAUGAAAGCUGGGGGAGCAAACCGGAUUAGAUACCCGGGUAGUCCCAGCUGUAAACGAUGCAGACUCGGUGAUGCCCUGGCUUGUAGCCAGUGCAGUGCCGCAGGGAAGCCGUUAAGUUUGCCGCCUGGGAAGUACGUACGCAAGUAUGAAACUUAAAGGAAUUGGCAGGGGAGCAC
rnacentral:rRNA from 1 species